GCACUCCGCCAGAACAGGCAGGGAUGGUUCGUCCCUUCUCCUGGGGCCUGGCUCACACCCCCUGCUAGCAACACAACUGAAAAGGGAACUGGGACCAGAGUGGAGAAGACCGCACUGCAAAACCCACCCUCUGCUCCCGGCCUGCCACCUCACCGCUCUGUGGACCCCAUACAGCAACGUGCCUCCACUUGCCUCACGCGCUUUCCCCUUCUCCAAGCUCUACGAAGGCAGGCAGACUAACCGGUGCAGGCUCCCAGCAAACUGCAGGCUCACAGUGGAAAAGGACAAGGAAAUGGAGAAUGUUGCCGGCAACACUGUUUAGCUCGUUAACAGCGGGUGAUUGAUUAGCACCAAGGUCCCUGGAUCGACGGCCUCCGCGGCUGUUCUGGCAAUACUGCAAAUACCCCAGGCAAGAGAGCAGCCAAGGAGAGGCCGACUGAGAAGGGGCUCCCUGGGGCCGGGCACGCGGCAGCGGCCGGAGCGCAGCACAGUACAGCUCGCUGGGCUCUCCGGGAGGGUCAGGGAAGCCCCGAGUUCCUAGAAAGCUGCGCCGAAGUGUCUGCGUUUUGUUUUAGCUUUUUCAACUAAAAAUACCUGACUGGUACACCUUGCAAAGAUUCAUUUCUAACUAGAGACCUGGCAAGCACUUGAAGUCAAUGGGAGCUUUGCAUUGCUAUCAAGAAGUUAGGGACUGGCUUCUAAUAAACACAUCCUCUAACCCAGCUUGAGUGGGGAAAAGCAAGCUAGAAAUAACUUCUUGAUUCCUCAUUUGAAUUCAGAGCCGUCUUAUGUCAGGCUCACUUCUAGCAUCAAAGCAGCUCAGAGACAACACUACCAUUGAUGAUAGGGACAAAGACGACAUUACCACUGAUGAUAGGGGAAAAAUCAGGAAAGAUCUGAUUUAGAUUAGACACUGUAAUAUGUUCUUUUUAUAACUCCAGUGGUUGGAACUUGGCUCUAUAUCCAGAUCUGGGAGAGCACGCUCUGCAUUUGUGUAGUGCAUUUGGUAGUAAUUGAGCUAUUUCAGAGCACAGCAGAUUGCUCUUUUGCUCUUGCUUCAUCCCAUCAAGUGUAUAGUGCUGUGAGAAGCUGUGACUCUAGAAAUACUUCCAGGUCAGUUAGACUUGCUUCUCCUUUGGACCUCUCUGAUGCCAGACUAAAACUCAUCACGCACUUUUUUUUUUUUGCUGACAAAACACCACUUCUAUACAGAAAACUUCAAUUCAUGAAAUCUUUGCAAAGAAGCAUAGCUAUUUUCCCAGGUCCAGCCAGUAACCCAGCAGCAAGUACAAGGAUCUGAACAAAGCCUCUCACGUUGCCAGCAAACACUCUUAUUUGCCAGCCAUGCAAACAUCCUGAAGGGAGCAUUUCAUAUUAUUUCAUCAACACUGUUUCAGUUUUGUUCCAAUGCAGACACCAAAGUUAACCAUACAAAAUUUGUUUUUUUUCAGCCACCCUGACAGCACUGAUCAAAAAGAAAGCAAGCAUUCAAUGCUCCAACUUGAACGCUGUACGUUCCUGUCCCCUGCCUUGGAUGUAGCUGCAUGUUGCACUUGCAUUCAUAAAGCUUUACACUGCUAAAUGGCUCCUCCAGAGUCAGGAAGUUACUGGCUAGAGUCAGUAAAUCUUUCUUACGCAGCUUCAUGGGUCACAGCACCAGCAUGCCAGCAACUACCGACAGGGCCACCAUAAACAGGCAGCUUGUCCCACACGUGCACCUCUCCUGCUCCUCAGUGGUUUCCACUGUUUGGUGUUGCAGCACCUCACCUCCAUCCUAACACUGGGCACAGGCACAUGGUAGUACAGCAUAAACACACAAAAGCAGAGCAUUUGAUACAUCAGUGUGGACCAGCUAGGGGCAUUUUGCAUGCCAUGAGCUCCCAGGAUCUGCACCACCAAUUGCACAGUGAAGCCGUGCAGCUGACACCUCCUACUGAAACACAGUCAUGUGGACAAAGUUUCAGUUAAUAUCAGAUCCUUUUCCCUCCUCCUCUGUUGAUUUCAUUUUCCCUAGUUCUUAUCUAGGUUCAAGGCGGCAUUGAAAAUAACUCGCUCAACUUGUAACCAAGACACCUAAAGCAGUUUUCUCCUGUGCCUUUGAAAAAUAGGUGUAGCCCUGUGCAUUUAGCUGGCAACAUAAUUCAUGGAUAUCUUUUCAGCUGAGCUAGAACAUGAUUAAUCUGUAUCCGAGUUCACACAAACUAGUGGAGGAUUUAAUCUCCAGCAAACUCCAGGGACUCUCCAGGCUUUUCAUUCUACUGUGUUUUAGUAAAGGACAUUCCUCUCCAGUUAGAGAACAGCUGGGAUACUGGGAAUUCCUUUCGCAAGAGCUUUUGGAAGCUCUGAAUAUGAAAAAAUAUCCCUACAAUUGUUGGAUGUGAACUGAGACAUAUUAAUUGCAAAAGAAGAUUCCAUAUUUUAAACUAGAUAAAGAGCUGGAACAUUAUGUCCUGAUUAUCAGGGAAAGCAGAGCACCAAAGCUAUGCAAUAACCUUCUUUUCUUAAGGUGUUCGGAGUGUCCUCAGUUCUUAGACUGGCCCAUCUCCUCACUGGGGAGUUUAAAACACAGGAAAAGCCAUUGAUCCUCCAUAUUUGACUCCCAUACAUAACAAAAGACUAAGAAAAUCUGAUCACGCUGGCACAUUCACCUCUGCUUCUGAAUUCUCCGAACAGAGGCAUAAGUCCCCAGAAAGUCAGUGGGAUUAAUAUGUAUGAUCACUGCGAGACAGUUCAGAUUUAAUCUUAGUCACAAGAGGAACCAAAGAAUAGCAAUUCUGGAAUAUCAGCAUUGCCAAAAUCGAUAAGAAUGGCCUAUGUAAAUUCAUGUCUCAUCUCUGAAAAACUGUGACACAGGGAACUUGAGACGGAAAUGCAAAGAAUUCUAAAAUGGGCAACCUGUGGAGAAAAGACCUUCCUUCCCAGCUCCCACCCUAAUCAGCGGUUGGAGUAUGCCCUGAGGUAAGACUGUUUGUAUCCUCCUCUGGAAGAUAAGAUAUGUUAUCUACUGUAUCUGGUUCCAUUCCAGUAACUCUACAGUCAACAUACUCUAUCACGCUUCCUGAAGUUGGUAAGCAAGAGAAACAGGAGUAGACUAUCCACACUUUGUCAGAUAAGGAAAGAGCUUAAUAAGCAAAUAAAGAGUUUUGUUUUCAAACAACUUGGAGAGAGCUACAAAUGCAUACUGUAAACAUGGAAAAAGUGAGAAUCUCUUUUGGUUUCUUACUUCAAAAGUAUCCAUAAUGCUUUCGUGCUAUUAAAAGCUGUACGAGCUGAUAAAGACUGCCUUUUAUGGACUACAGGCUUGAACUAAAGAUACAUUUGCAUGCAUAGUUGUGGAAGAACUUUCAGAAGAGUACACAGAAUUGGAGUCAUGAGUAAUCACAGUUCCUGGUGCAGAGAUUGUUCUGCUCUCGAUGCAGACAGCUACGAGGAUUCCCCACAGCCGCCUGGCCGUACCUGGUGGGAACACUAAGUGGCUGUAGCAUGUGUUUGCUGGGCCUAGCUUCGAUUCACUUGCAGACAAAAAGGAAAGCCUCAAAAUGAACUGCAUUAACACAAAGGUAUGCUGACCCCAGCUCUUCAAACAAUCAACAGCAGUAAUAUUUUAUAUGUAUUUUAGAUCUAGCAGAAGCAAUACAGUAAGCCACUCCACCCCGGCUAACAGAGAAGCAGGACUUUCAAGGGGAAAUGUACAGUUUGAAGGCUCAGCUGAUGCAGAUCCCACCAAACACAGCACAAUUCAGUUCUGAAACCUAAAUGCUCACAAGCUGAAAAAAAUAGAAGAAAAUCAGACACAGAAAAGCAAUAGCAGAGUGGCAGUACAGCCAGACGAGAGGUUAAGCCUACUGCAUCCACAAAGAAAAACUACAUCCGUAAACAAGGGUGCAAAGGCACACGGGAAGAGAUCCACUGCUCUCCGAGAGCAGCCCGCACUCAUUUUCUGGUGAAAAUGCCACUUUUUGAAAUGGCCUAGAAGACAGAAAAGGAAUAAAAAGAAAUAAUAAUCAAGGUCACACAUCUACAAGGUCACAGUGGAGGAAAAACUGGAGUACGCCUGAAGCGAUAACCUCUCCUGCUCAGCAAAGCUGGUGAAGGACAGAACUAACCUUACUCUAGGAGGAGACUCCAAAUCCUUCUCUGAGAUACAGCCCUGAAUUUAUCUACCCCCUCCCCAAAUUUUCCACCCUCAUGGGAUCCCCGUUUCUAACGCCAAGUCUGCAUGGCCCACACAGCCGAAAGGACCAAGCCACGCUCCCCCGCAGGCCUCUCGCCCGCUGUCCCCCGCACAGCUCACAGCAGGGCUGCCUGCUCCCACCAUCCCCACCCAGACCCAGCAGCAAAGGCAAGUGCUCCAGGAAUACGCUCGUAUGGGUUUACUGCUUAAGCAGGCAUAUGCAAUAACGUGUUGACACUAAUGUACAGCAAAAAUAUUAUUCAGUAUAUUGCUCUGUAGGUAAGUGUGCUAGCAAAAGCAAGCAUAUGUUUUAUUUACCAGGUCAGCUCAUUUUCAGACUAGCUCUCUAUAACAAAAGAGUUUAAUAUUGUUGAAGGCAAGAAAGAUACCUAUAAAUAGGAGUGAGAGGCUGUGUGUGGAACUUUUACAUGAAACUUUAAUGGCAAGAGAAAUAGCCUUCAUGUAUUAUAGUUGGCAAAUUCUUUAUUGCAGUUCUACCUAUGCAAACUUAGUGUGGAAGUAGGUUUAUGGCAUCAAAGGAAGUAUCAAGAAAAGAUUUUUUGCCACACUUGAAUUUUCUUAAAGUUUCUCUACCCUUGAGCCUGGACGCUAGCCCCUGUAUUAUCCCCUCUUGCUGCAGCCCUGAAGUCAGGAACCGGAGGUACCAGCACUGCUCACCAAUAGUGGCAGUUACUGUUGCCUCAGUUCCUAUCCUCAUCCCAGCACCUCCACCUACCCUAAAUCAGGGAGAGUUGGACCCUCUAAUCAAGCAAGACACAAAUUAUUCUUUUGAAAGAAAAAACAAACAGCUCACAGCUUGCUCUACAAACCUUCACUCCCACCAGUGAUCCACUCUAGGGCUCACCAAAGGUCCACCUAGGGGUCUGUGGGACCUUUGCAACAUCUUCUCCAAGUAGCAUGACCUGAGAGCCCAAUACAGGGUGCCACUGUCUCUUCCCAUGCAACAUGUUGCUUUACUUUGAUUUCACUAUGUUGUUAUUUACUAGACCUCCCAAGUAAAAGAAACUCUGGGUGAGGUUCCCAGCAUAUGGGGUUCUAGAUGGACCCCAGUAGUCCCUCCAGGCACAGAGUAUAAAAGUUUCAUGCCAAAGCCAACCACUAUUUCUAUAUUUAGUCAAACCUUGGCCACACACAGUGGCUCUUAAAAUGAAUGACCCAUUCAUUUCCCUUCAUCUGCUCAGAUGGCCUUUGCUGUAUCUAAUAACUACCAAGUCUCCAGUCUAUCGAAAAUGCAAUCCAUCUUCCAAGACUACUUUAAAGAUUUUAUCUACCUGCCCUCUACAUAUAUAUUGCUACAUGAAAACCAAAGGGAUUUGCUUGUGUGCAGUUCCAUUAUUACACAGAGCCCAUCAAGAAUUUCAGAGUAAAAUUGUUUUUUAAGCAAGCAACAGUAAUUUGUACUACUAACUUCCAUCCUAAUAAUUUUACUUAUGAACACUGCAUAUCAGUUUCCAAAAAUUUUCAACUGGUACAUCAAACCUGUCUAAAUCUCCUUUUAAAAAUCAUUCUCUGCCCAUCAUUUUAAUUACUUUUAAUUAAAAAUUAUUUUAAGUGUGAUAAUGUAGAUUUCAAAGCCCAUUGUCCCUCCUUCUUCUUGAAUCCCUCCCCCUUUAAAUCUAUGCAGAGCAUAUAAUGAAAAAACAGCAUGUCUAGUCUGAGAUUGCUCAGAGAAUCCAGAAGUGCAUUUCUACUACUAGCUGCUGUGCAUGUUUAUAAGGAGGCCUGAGAAGGAUUAUAAAUAUCUCUACCUUCUAGUCGCUUGGCUUCCCAGAACUAUACAUGAAUAUUUCUGGUUGGUGCCACAGCUCAUCUGUCAAGCACCUAGGUGUCUUCACAGUGUGCCCGUCUGCAGUCCCGCCUUUCUUCUCAGAGGUUUUAUUUUUCUUAAGACUCUCCCCUCGAGAAGGCAGUAUGAAAUGCCACAUAACCCAAAUCGCUUUCACUACUCCACAAUCCUGUAAGAGACUGGAACAUGCAAAGGGAGCCUAAGGAAAUUUGGUAUCUAAAUCCAACUGAUUUCAAAGGAGUUUAGGACACCAAAACUCUCAGCGUAAAGGAAUGGAGUGUAAUAUUGCUGAAUUCCCAAGCACUUCACGGAGUACAGCCGCUAAAGUUAUAGUGUCAAUUAAUAACUAGCAAGGGGAAGGGCAGGCAAAACCAUAUGUUUUCAGCUGGAAUUUCAGAUAUACUGGUAAGCCAUCUGCAGAGGGGACGGGAAGGCUGUCCCAGACAGGAGUGGCAGCAAAGGGGGUUAUGCUACCAGAGAUUUGCAUAUGAACGGAGGAACAGGAAAAGGACAGAGUCAGAGUAUAUCCAUGGAAACCUAUGGAGAAGAGUAGUAACAGCAAAUGUAAAUCUUGACAAGACAGCACAGAUGAGAAUUUCACCUACCUUUCCCUCAUUCAUGAUCUUAUUUCAAGAUCAGAAUUAUAGACUGUCACUACACCCACGGUGUUUAAAAAACAGCUCAUGCUUCAAGGAAAAUCAUUUCUACAGCAAGUACACAGACACUUCUAAUUUCACAUAGCUGGAGAUCAGACAGCCAAUGUUGAUGACCGACUUGGUUCACAAUAGGUGUUUGAGCCUUGGGGCCAGAGAGACAAAGCCUCCGGGUACCUGCCGGUGGCACCUUCCAUACAUUAAAAACUACUCCUGCUCUCAAAGGUGACUUCACUUCGCAAGCGGUGCGCGAACACUCAACAGAACGGCCCGCUGGACAGGGAAGAGGCCUACUCUAGGGCACGUUUCACCAUGGGUCGGUCUCUGCCCGAGUUUCAAGCCUGACCUGCAAUGCUGCACCAGUCUUUCCAAAGACAGGCUGCAAAAUCACCUUGUAGUUUCAUGGCACAUUUCGACAUCCUGUGUCUGAGGGAGGUGACUACAGUUACUAACACCUGCUUCCUUCUGCGAGGAAAAAGUCAGCCCAACCUCUAGCUUAGCAAAACAGAUGACAUUAGCAUCCGUCCAGUUUUGUUUUCCAAACCUUACACUGCACAGCUAGAGCCAAGACCUCAUUUGCAGCCCCGCUACUCAAACACUAUCAUUUCCUGAACUUCCAGCUCUAUCGCUUCUUGUUGUCAUAGUCCGUGGGUGUCUUUAAACAAGGGCUCGUAGCUGUAACCCUAAACCUGAAAGCAUCUGCAGCCAGCCUGGGUAAAUCCCGCUGGCUGCCCAUCUCUUACCCUGACACCCUCCUGCUUUCGCAGUUUGAUAGAAAUGUCUGGCUGGAAGUCAUCAGCCACCGCUAUACACCAGGGCCAGGCGGUGUUUACCUAAUCUGCAGACCAGGCACAUCCACUCAGGGAGAAAAAAAGAAAAUCACAGGCAAUUUGUCAGAGCAUUAGCUGAUAAUUCAGACAGAAAUGUUAGAUCUUGAGGCACGGCUCCGGGCUGCAGGAGAAAUGUUAUUGACUCUGACGGAUCCCUGAUGACAUAUCUACUCCCUCUCCCAGGGGCAAGGCUACAUUUAGAUACACUUAAAUUUUCAUUCAAAUUCAAGAUUAACACAGCAAGUGGACAGCAGGAAAAGAACAUGAGAGAAGGUUAGUGGAGGAAGAGGGAGCUUGCAUUGUUGGGUUUGGGGUUUUCUUCCCACCUCUGUAAUUCUGGCCUAAUUAUUUCCUUUAAAGCUCAUUGAAUUCACCAUGGUAAUUAUUACUCAAGGUUAGAAAUAAAUAUUCCUUUUGCUUAGAGACAGUCAUUCCUGCCUACUUAAUGCUACUUAUCCUCCAUAAUAGCUCAGAGUCCAGAUUUAGACAACACUAAAUUCUUUUGAGACUUGAUCAAAUGUGUUUCACAGCUAUCUUCCCAUCUCCUCUUGCUUCCCAGCUAGUUACAUUCAUUUGGCGUCUCUGAAGCGGAGAUUUUAAGCUCCUUCAAGGUUAUUUUUUUCUUGUUAUGUCUGUUUGCAGCAUCUAGCACAAAGCUGUCCCGAGCCUUCAAUUGCACCUGUUAAGUAGCAAAUAAUAGUAAUAACUGGAGCAUAGCUAAUUAGGCUGCAGUUUUCAAAUUUGGGUGCCUAAGGAGGUAUAUUAUCAUUCAGCAUGACUCUGCUCCUAAUUCACUUGAGUUGUCUUGAAAAUGCCACACUUACAGUCAUAUUUAGGCACCUAAGGACACAUCUUCAUUUUUGGAGAGGCUGAAUAUAGAUUUCAGUAAAGCUUGGGUCUGACACUUCUGAGCAUCAGGAUAACUUCUACCCAUCUUUAAAUAUGUAUCCUCAACUAGAUGGCUUUCUUGGGACACUUGCAUAUGAAAAUUUUGACUGUUUCUACCUGGAAACAAUGUACAAGUAUUUCAUUUCCCUUUCUCUGUGCUUCAACACCAUUCAACAAUAAAUCUCAGUUCUGCGAAUACA